rnacentral:rRNA from 1 species
CCCGUUACUCUCGGAUAGCCUUCCGAAAGGGAGAUUAAUACGAGAUUGGUGUUUUAAUUCCGCAUGUUAUUAGAACUAAAGAUUUAUCGGUAACGGAUAGGGAUGCGUGACAUUAGAUAGUUGCGGGUAACGCCCACCAAGUCCACGAUGUCUAGGGGUUCUGAGAGGAAGGUCCCCCGCACUGGAACUGAGACACGGUCCAGACUCCUACGGGAGGCAGCAGUGAGGAAUAUUGGUCAAUGGGCGCAAGUCUGAACCAGCCAUGCCGCGUGCAGGAUGACGGCUCUAUGAGUUGUAAACUGCUUUUGUACAAGGGUAAACCUCGGUACGUGUACCGAGCUGAAAGUACUGUACGAAUAAGGAUCGGCUAACUCCGUG